GUUGUGUACUCUUGCUAGCUUGUGUUGAGACGAACGUGAGACCCUAGAUGCAUACAUCUCCGUCAAGCUAAGUUGCUCACUUUCUUUGCGUGCAGGUUGAGCCCUAACAACAGCACAAUUUGCUUCAACCAGUGCAACAAACAGCAGGGAUAGCAGCAGUGAUGACGGGGGAGUCGGACAAUAAUGGACGGACAGGGAACUGUGGGGCAAGGACGUUCAGGACAAGAUACGCCUUCUGACCAGUGGUGAUUGACAGCACUUAUUAGUAUUGAUCGUGCACAAUUAUAUAUGUGCAUUAACCCUUCAAGAUUGAUACCGUGCUGCUGGGAAAAAAGCACCCAGCCAGAGAACCACAAUGCAGCACAGAAAUAUAAACAACCAUAACUCUCUUACUCUACAUCACCUGCUCUUUGCUUUUAUAUCAAUCCCCUUUUAGUAUUUCUUUUCGGUUUACUGAUGUACACAGACAAACUAUACAAAAUAUACACACCUCCUCCCACUGAUGUAUGUAUCUGAUGAGUCGGGACAGUCUCAACAGACGCAGAAGACUGAGGAUCUUCGUGAAGCGGACGAUUCGCAGGGCACGUGCUGUUUUAUAUACCUCAGAGUCAAAGCCUUUCUCCACUAUUAAAAAGAUAUAAUCCACUGGAAUGGAGGAGAGGAAGUCCACAACGAACCAGCUCUUCAGGUAAUUCAUCUUGAUGACUUUGGGGUCGAGGAUGAUCUCAGAGCUCUCCUCGUUGACGAUCCCCGUCCUGAAGUUCAUUACCAGGUCCACCAGGAAGAUGGUGUCCGAGGCCACAUUGAAGACCAGCCAGGUGGUGGUAGUCUGCUCUGAGAAGAAUGUUAUUCCCACAGGAAUGAUGAUUAGAUUCCCCAUCAUCAUGAUGAGCAUUAUCAAGUCCCAGUAGAACCUGCAAAGCAACACACAUGAAUCAGUAAUGCAAGGUAAAAAAAAACCACAUGUUGUAGACAGUUAAUGCAGACAGUGUCUACUCACAUUUCCAAAGAAUGUGAACACACCUAAAGGACUUUGUCUGAGAGUACUUCUGGAACAAAUUACAGCAACUCAAUUGUGUCUUUUGGACAAUUGAGAAAUCUGGUUUGAAACCUGCACACUUCUACAUGUAACUGCUUUACAUAAUUGUAUUUUCUUUUGCAUCCAUAUUAUCCUGUGUAUUUAUCAAAUCAUUUUCCAAUUCUGAAUGUUUUAUUGUCUUUCUAUAUUUCUUAUGAUUGUACUUUCUGUGUUGUUGUUCUGUAUUUGUCUUUGUAAUCUGACUCGAUGACAUUGAAAAUGAGGGUCGCACCUCAAUGA